GCCGUGGUGGAGGGACGCACGCGCACACGGAGAGUCUGAGAGGCUCGUUUGCAGAAGUAAAGAAAUAAAAAGUCUGUCGGUCUGUUCUGGAGGCGCCGUUCCCGCGCUGCUUCAACCAAACCUCCAUGCGCGCGACCUUCACCGGGAGAUCCGCAAACACGACUCUGACGUUCGUCCUCGGCUUCAGAGAACCGAGCAGAUGCUGUCAGGCCUGCAAAGCUGAGCGACGCGCACGCGCAGCAGGAGCCACGAAUCCUUUGCAUCUCACAACACGUGCACAGCAGCCCUUGGACCAGUUAUUAAUAAAUGCGGAGCGGAUGUGAAGUGAUCAGAGCACGCGGGACUGGACCUCCCGCAGCAGAGCAUGGAUGGAGCGCGUCAUCGCUGCUGCUUGA
rnacentral:lncRNA from 1 species